UCGAGAGACCAAGGCGGUCGGGACGAGGGCGCCUAGCCUUUGAUGUGGAUAGUUUAAAAGAAAACGCAGGGGCAGUGGGGAACUCUCUUCUUCUGCAGUAGUGAGACGGGGUCAACGACGAGGGAGUCAUCGGGCGAGCCGCAGGAUCGUCUGCAGGACGACCUGAGCACCGCAAGGUCACCUAGGACUACAGACGGUAUCGUAUUACGCGCCUUACAACACCUCAGAGCGGAGAGUAGGAUCCGUAGGAGAAGGUGAGUUCGGGGUAAGGACGAGUAGGGAAGCGGUGUAACAGAGAGCGCAGCAUAGAAUAGGGCUGCACGCCACUAGAGAGUGGGUUGGAAGCGCCUUGCUGGCUCGUACACACACACGGGUGGCUCGGUGGGUUAACAAGGGUUAAUAAAAUCUCGAGCGUAGUAACAAAACCGUGUUGUUGGGUGUUUUUGAACGUGGUAUUAGCGUGCACUGCAUUCGCGGGUGUGUGGUCGUUGUAUGCGUAAAGGCCGUGGUCUCUGUACGAUGGUGCGGGUACGGAGGUGUGUGUGUUAACGCCCGGGGAGAGCACUUUUGUGUGUUGGCGUGCCUACGCAGCCGUGUGAGAGGAGAAUCGUCCUUGCACGAUACUUGUGUUGACGUGCACGCGCGAGUGCGGGAGGGGACGAGUCGUCGUGUCGGCGUGCACCCCGCUCGUGUGUGCGAAACCCCGGUGCGCAGUGAAGCGGUUAGCUUUGUGCUCGUUACGUGCGUAAAGUGCGGCGCGGUGGUGAGUUCCUGACCCCCAGCCCCGCGGCUCGAGCGCGUAAUCGGCUGCGCAUUGUUGUACGGUUUAUCUCGCGCGCACGGCGGCGGCAACUUGAGUCGUUGUGUCGGCGCGUGCCCCGCUUGCGUGUGCUCGUGUGAUCCCGUGUUAUAAGUGUGAACGCGUGUGGUACGGUGUAUGCAUAAGCUCUCGUCGUGCGAAAUCGGCGUACCCCAGGUGCGCGAUUGUAACGUGAGCGGCCAGCGCGGCGCAGAGCGGCGCAAGAGUGAGUGCCGUGCAGAGCUGUGUGUGUGGGUGUGCGCGUACGUAAUUAACCAUGCCUGCUACGCGGACCCGCGGUGGAGGGGAAUCCUCGGGCGACGUCUCCCACACCAUGGGUGAGGAACUUAGCAGCGGUUCGCUUAGCAGCGGGGGGGCGAUUGAUGAUGCUAGCCCGGCCGUUAGCAUUAUCGAGGGAGGGAUCUCGGGGGCUAGCGACCCUCACACGUACACUCACCCGUUCACACCACGUCCACUGACGUUACACACAAUACGUACACUCACCCGCUCACACCACACUCAAUGAUGUUACACACAAUAAGUACACUCACCCGCUCACACCACACUCACUAACGUCACACACAAUACGUACACUCACCCACUCACACCACACUCACUAACAUCACACACAAUAGUACACUCACCCACUCACACCACACUCACUGCAUUACACACAACUAAACGUGCACACUCACCCAAAACCACACUGACUAACAUUACACACACAAAGACAAAGAUCCCCCGGAUAGCUUUACAAUUUUGAGGCAAGGGGCCUUAGCCAGCACCGAUAAAGGCCGGCACAGCACAUGACGGGGUGGGUGGCCAGCACAACGCCCGGCCGCCUUUGUCUCCCAAGUGGCGAUGUGUUAACAUACCACACCAGGUACUAAUUUGAGGCUGAAUCGACCUAGUGGAGACCUCGGACUGGCUGAGAUAAGCGUCACAGAUGAUGGCCAUGAGCAGGAAUCGAACUCGGGUCACCAGCUUCGUGUCGCAGUGCGCUUCCCUGGCACACACACGCAAUAUGUAGACGCACCCCACUCGCCAAAUAAGUUGUCAAAUUCCACACAGGUACACAGAACAUGCCUCCAAUCGGCACGGAUUUUCUACGUACGGCGCAGAAGAAGUUCAACAUACAUACGUCUCCAUUCGGAACAGCCCACAGAAGUGGAUACCACAGAGCCACCGCCGAGAUCAUUUCAAGUGACCUUUGACCCACACAGUGGGGGGCAGCACCUCCCUUUCCACUCAACCACUGAGUCACUGGUAAGAGGGCUGAAACCUUCAACUCUCCAUACCUGAACACGUGAAACUCUGUUCAAUCACAGGCUCCGGCUGGAUUCAAACCCAGGGCAUUCGCGGUGCUUGGCUCAGUGCUCCGAACUCCGAGCUCAAAGUGAUGUUCCUGCUGGCAGACAACGAAAGCCUCGGCAUCGCGUUUGAGUGGCACGAGCGGUAUCAUCGCUCACGCAGGCGCGGCCCGUUCUACUUAACGAGACAACAGGCGCCUUCUCAAAAUAGCGGUUUCUUAGCCACCCGCAGGUUCCGCUGUGAACGCGCACGGAACAGCGGGCGGCAACGACAACUGCAAAGAGGGAGUUUCACGAACGCCGCAGGGUAAAAAAAAAAAAUGACCGACUUUGAAAAACGCUCCGCAGGUUCGCACUUCGCAAACUUCAAUCGCCGAAGAUGCACAGCGCGCCUCCUUUAUUCGCAAACGCGAGCGGCCGCGUUCGUCUCCUACCGACGCGCUUCAAAUAGGGAUAGCUGCCGCGCUGUGAUCAUUAGCGCGCACAGCCACUUGAAGCAUUUGAUGCUUCGUGCAAAGCCGGCCAAAGAGAUCAAAGGGUUUGCCCUGUGAUCGCUUUUUUUUUCACCAGGUAAGGCCCCACCGAGCUGUCUAACUCUUUUUCAGAAGCUCAAUGAAGUGGCUUAUCAUGUGGAAAUGUAUAGCAGCCAAAAACUCUAAAUGCAUGUUUCUAAAUGUGGAGGGCAGAACCGGAGAAAAUUCCACACGACCAUGGGGAGAAAGUUUCAAACUUCAAAUAUACAGAUAUCAGGGUCGGGAUCGAACCCACGGCCUCCUGCGUACCAGGUGAGGUAGUUAACAUCUCGCCACCGACCUGGUUAGCCGUUAAUGUGCUGUAAAGAGGGGCUAUUUUCCGAAACCUUGCAUGCCUAUUAUGUUUUCUUUGUAAGACCACAGUUUUACUGACGGAUAUGUUGAGUUUUUCUUUAUUUAUUUGUAAUCUGGCCAUUGCGUGGCUAAGACGGUGACGUCGAUAUUGCUAAUUAACUUCGAAAGCGUUUUAAAAUCUAUUCAAAAAUUGUUUUGAACGUGCGUGCUUUUCAAGCCAAAAUUGGUGUCAUCAGAGGACAUCACUUCAAGUGGCACGAGGACAUGUUAAUUGAGUGCAUAAUUUAAAUUAUCAGAAAAUCUAAAUAUUUUUAAAAGAUCCGAAAUCAUAAUAAAAAAAUAGUGCAAUUAAAAAAAGAUGUGAUAUUCAUCCCUCGCAUACUCUGACCUCUGAACUCUGAGAGCGUAUGUGGGGGAGGGGGGGCAUGUAGAGUUCCAAGCACCAGGGUCACACAACCGCCCCCCCCUCCCCCGAGUGAGCGCUCACCAACACCGCGCCAGCUCACUCUGCAGGCUUUGCUCAAUAAAAAAAUGAUUAAUUGUCAAAAUCACGGAACGGGAAUGAGCGCACACCGCGAAAGAAUUCGCAACACAUUUGGCCGCCAAAAAUGCGGUAAAUCAAAACGCCUGGCACGACGAGGGUCACCGACCGUAAGCGGCUUGGAAUUAACAGAAAUAGCGGAGGCUCUGCGUAAUUAAAUGCCUGGCUCGUGCGGAAAACUGAGAGACGCUAAAUGAGAGCUAUGGACCUCGCCGGUGGCGGCAGCGGCGGCGGUGGCGGUGGUGGGGGGGGGCAGGUGUAUUUACACAACGCCCGGUGAUUGAGCGCUCGGUCAACCGUCACCAUGGCACCUCGUCCGUUGUUGUUGUUGUUGUUGCGCUCGUGGGAUCCACGGACGGUCGGCGCGAGGGGCCGGCUUCCGUUCCGCACCUGUGUCGUCCUCCUGCCGCGCCGCCACCAGCGCCGCUGCGGCAGAGGUCGCAAACGGGUUUUGAUUCAUCUUCUUGGCUCUUUCGGUAAAGUCACGUAGAAUGGAAACAAUAAAAAUAAUAAAAUAACACAUAAUAAAAUAAUUCUCACGACGUUUCGGCCACAACGCAAGCAGCCGUCAUCAGGUGAAGACCAGGUCUGUCGGGGAGACAGCGUCUUACCAGUACCUGUACCCGGCCGCACCAGGGUCGCAAAUGGGUACCUGUACCCGUUCCCUACCCGUACCCUACCCGAAAUGAGUGACAAACGGUGACUCACCAGUGACUCACGGCCUACCCGUACCCGGCUGCACCAGGGUCGCAAACGGGUACCCGUACCCGCACCCGGUCGGGUACGGAUAGCCGGGUAUCGGGUAGGGUACGGGUAUCGGGUACCUGAUUGCGACCUCUGCGCUGCCGGUGCCGAGUGCGUGGCACGACGAUGAUGCCCCCACUGGGCCCAGUGGAGAAAGGU